UGGUGAGGUAACGGCUCACCAAGGCGACGAUGGGUAGCCGGCCUGAGAGGGUGACCGGCCACACUGGGACUGAGACACGGCCCAGACUCCUACGGGAGGCAGCAGUAGGGAAUCUUGCGCAAUGGGGGGAACCCUGACGCAGCGACGCCGCGUGAGCGAUGAAGGCCUUCGGGUCGUAAAGCUCUGUCCUAUGGGAAGAAACGGACGGUACCAUAGGAGGAAGCCCCGGCUAACUACGUGCCAGCAGCCGCGGUAAUACGUAGGGGGCGAGCGUUGUCCGGAAUUACUGGGCGUAAAGGGUGCGUAGGCGGGUAUGCAAGUCCGGUGUGAAAUGCUUCGGCUCAACCGAGGAGUUGCAUUGGAAACUGCGUAUCUAGAGUACAGGAGAGGGAAGCGGAAUUCCUAGUGUAGCGGUGAAAUGCGUAGAUAUUAGGAGGAACACCAGUGGCGAAGGCGGCUUCCUGGACUGAUACUGACGCUGAGGCACGAAAGCUGGGGUAGCGAACAGGAUUAGAUACCCUGGUAGUCCCAGCCAUAAACGAUGGGUACUAGGUGUUGUCACUUCAUUGUGGCAGUGCCGCAGUUAA
rnacentral:rRNA from 1 species